rnacentral:ncRNA from 1 species
UACUUCAUCAACCGGAAAGGUUUUACUUAGCUGUAGAUUAAUAGGGAAUCGUGUGCAAAUCACGAACUGUCGCGCAACUGUAAGUAACACACCAAAGGUUUUAUUACUAAAAAUCCACUGUUUUUUAAUUAAAAUGGGAAGGAAAAUAAAACUGUUACAAGUCAGGAGACCUGCCUAUUCCGAAUUGACAAU